GUGCCAGCAGCCGCGGUAAUACGUAAGGACCGAGCGUUGUCCGGAAUCAUUGGGCGUAAAGGGUACGUAGGCGGUUAAAAAAGUUAGAAGUGAAAGGCUAUAGCUCAACUAUAGUAAGCUUUUAAAACUGUUUAACUUGAGAGAUGGAAGGGAAAGUGGAAUUCCUAGUGUAGCGGUGAAAUGCGCAGAUAUUAGGAGGAAUACCGGUGGCGAAGGCGACUUUCUGGCCAUUAUCUGACGCUGAGGUACGAAAGCGUGGG
rnacentral:rRNA from 1 species